AUUGAACGCUGGCGGCAGGCCUAACACAUGCAAGUCGAGCGAGUGGCGGACGGGUGAGUAAUGUAUGGGAAACUGCCCGAUGGAGGGGGAUAACUACUGGAAACGGUAGCUAAAACCGCAUACUAUCGGAUGUGACCAGAUGGGAUUGGCUAGUAGGUGGGGUAAAGGCUCACCUAGGCGCAGAUCCCUAGCUGGUCUGAGAGGAUGACCAGACACACUGGGACUGAGACACGGUCCAGACUCCUACGGGAGGCAGAAGUGGGGAAUAUUGCACAAUGGGCGCAAGCCUGACGCAGCCAUGCCGCGUGUAUGAAGAAGGCCUUCGGGUUGUAAAGUACUUUCAGCGGGGAGGCGUUACCCGCAGAAGAAGCACCGGCUAACUCCGUGCCAGCAGCCGCGGUAAUAC
rnacentral:rRNA from 1 species